CAGCCAGGAUGUUGGCUUAGAAGCAGCCAUCAUUUAAAGAAAGCGUAAUAGCUCACUGGUCGAGUCGGCCUGCGCGGAAGAUGUAACGGGGCUAAACCAUGCACCGAAGCUGCGGCAGCGACGCUGAUGCGUUGUUGGGUAGGGGAGCGUUCUGUAAGCCUGCGAAGGUGUGCUGUGAGGCAUGCUGGAGGUAUCAGAAGUGCGAAUGCUGACAUAAGUAACGAUAAAGCGGGUGAAAAGCCCGCUCGCCGGAAGACCAAGGGUUCCUGUCCAACGUUAAUCGGGGCAGGGUGAGUCGACCCCUAAGGCGAGGCCGAAAGGCGUAGUCGAUGGGAAACAGGUUAAUAUUCCUGUACUUGGUGUUACUGCGAAGGGGGGACGGAGAAGGCUAUGUUGGCCGGGCGACGGUUGUCCCGGUUUAAGCGUGUAGGCUGGUUUUCCAGGCAAAUCCGGAAAAUCAAGGCUGAGGCGUGAUGACGAGGCACUACGGUGCUGAAGCAACAAAUGCCCUGCUUCCAGGAAAAGCCUCUAAGCAUCAGGUAACAUCAAAUCGUACCCCAAACCGACACAGGUGGUCAGGUAGAGAAUACCAAGGCGCUUGAGAGAACUCGGGUGAAGGAACUAGGCAAAAUGGUGCCGUAACUUCGGGAGAAGGCACGCUGAUAUGUAGGUGAAGUCCCUCGCGGAUGGAGCUGAAAUCAGUCGAAGAUACCAGCUGGCUGCAACUGUUUAUUAAAAACACAGCACUGUGCAAACACGAAAGUGGACGUAUACGGUGUGACGCCUGCCCGGUGCCGGAAGGUUAAUUGAUGGGGUUAGCGCAAGCGAAGCUCUUGAUCGAAGCCCCGGUAAACGGCGGCCGUAACUAUAACGGUCCUAAGGUAGCGAAAUUCCUUGUCGGGUAAGUUCCGACCUGCACGAAUGGCGUAAUGAUGGCCAGGCUGUCUCCACCCGAGACUCAGUGAAAUUGAACUCGCUGUGAAGAUGCAGUGUACCCGCGGCAAGACGGAAAGACCCCGUGAACCUUUACUAUAGCUUGACACUGAACAUUGAGCCUUGAUGUGUAGGAUAGGUGGGAGGCUUUGAAGUGUGGACGCCAGUCUGCAUGGAGCCGACCUUGAAAUACCACCCUUUAAUGUUUGAUGUUCUAACGUGGACCCGUAAUCCGGGUUGCGGACAGUGUCUGGUGGGUAGUUUGACUGGGGCGGUCUCCUCCUAAAGAGUAACGGAGGAGCACGAAGGUUGGCUAAUCCUGGUCGGACAUCAGGAGGUUAGUGCAAUGGCAUAAGCCAGCUUGACUGCGAGCGUGACGGCGCGAGCAGGUGCGAAAGCAGGUCAUAGUGAUCCGGUGGUUCUGAAUGGAAGGGCCAUCGCUCAACGGAUAAAAGGUACUCCGGGGAUAACAGGCUGAUACCGCCCAAGAGUUCAUAUCGACGGCGGUGUUUGGCACCUCGAUGUCGGCUCAUCACAUCCUGGGGCUGAAGUAGGUCCCAAGGGUAUGGCUGUUCGCCAUUUAAAGUGGUACGCGAGCUGGGUUUAGAACGUCGUGAGACAGUUCGGUCCCUAUCUGCCGUGGGCGCUGGAGAACUGAGGGGGGCUGCUCCUAGUACGAGAGGACCGGAGUGGACGCAUCACUGGUGUUCGGGUUGUCAUGCCAAUGGCACUGCCCGGUAGCUAAAUGCGGAAGAGAUAAGUGCUGAAAGCAUCUAAGCACGAAACUUGCCCCGAGAUGAGUUCUCCCUGACUCCUUGAGAGUCCUGAAGGAACGUUGAAGACGACGACGUUGAUAGGCCGGGUGUGUAAGCGCAGCGAUGCGUUGAGCUAACCGGUACUAAUGAACCGUGAGGCUUAACCUUACAACGCCGAAGCUGUU
rnacentral:rRNA from 1 species